rnacentral:lncRNA from 1 species
AAUGAGUUUAAUAUGUAUUAAUAUGGUAAAAUAAAUUAAUAUUUUUUUAGAAAAAGUUGUUGUCAAAUGGCUCUAUGAAAAAUUAACUUCUUAAAUGAAAAGUCGUUCUCAAAUGGCUUUAUCAAAGAUUAAAUAGUCGAGUUAUAUUAGGAGAAGCCAACUGCUCAAGAUUUUUUAGGCACACCUCGCAACACAUGGGGAGGUGUUCUCGCAAGUUCCUGUGGGUCCCAGAUGUGUGCAAGAGUUUCACUAUGUUCCCCUAUGUUAUUAGAGACUAGGCUCAGGCGACUGUUUACUAAAAACACACGUCUCUUCAAAGUCGUAAGACUAUGUAUGGGGGAUGACGCCCGCCCAUUGCCGGAAGGUCAAGGAAGUUGGUGAUUUGAUGACAGGGGAGCUGUCGGCCGAAGCCUCGGUGAACGGCGGUCAUAACUAUAACUGUCCUAAGGCAGCAAAAUUCCUUGUCGGGUAAGUUCUGACCCAGUACGAAAGGCGUAACUAUCUGGGCUCCGUCUCGGAGAGAGGCUCGGUGAAAUAGACAUGUCUGUGAAGGUGCGGACUAUCUCCACCUGGACAGAAAGACUCUAUGAAGCUUCACUGUUCCCUUGGGUUGGCUUUGGGCCUUUCCUGCGCAGCUUAGGUAGAAGGCGAAGAGGGCUUCCUUCCGGGGGAUGGGUGUGAGCCAUCAGUGAGAUACUAUUCUGGAAGAGCUAUAAUUCUAACCUUAUGUUAGGACGUACGGGCCAAGGGACAGUCUCAGGUAAAAAGUUUCUAUGGGGCGUAGGCCUCCAGAAUGGUAACGGGGGCGUGCAAAGGUUUCCUCGGGCCGGACAGAGAUUGGCCCUCGAGUGCAAAGGCAGAAGGAAGCUUGACUGCAAGACCCAACCCUCGAGCAGGGACGAAAGUCGGCCUUAGUGAUCCGACGGUGCUGAGUGGAAGGAUCGUCGCUUAACAGAUAAAAGUUACUCUAAGGAUAACAAGUUGAUCUUCCCAAAGAGCUCACAUUGACGAGAGGUUUGGCACCUCGAUGUCGGCUCUUCGCCACCUGGGGCUGUAGUAUGUUUCAAGGGUUCGGUUGUUCGCCCAUUAAAGUGGUACGUGAGCUGGGUUCAAAACGUCAUGACAAAAGCCAAUUUUAACACGCCGUUUACUCGGCCAGCACGAUUUGCACCAUUAAUUGUAAAAGCAUUUUUAAAAAGUCUUUCAAUAUAAGUUUCAUCCAUAAACUUGCAUGUCAUGUGACAAAUUUGAAUGACUAUUCAAGCUCUACGAAAAGACUUUACUGAAAUAUUCUCAUAGGAUCUAGUAAGAAUAUCAUAAAAAAAAAUAUGCUUUUUUAACUUAGAUAAAGACAAAUUAAUAAGAACUUUGU